AUUGAACGCUGGCGGCAGGCCUAACACUUGCAAGUCGAGCGAGCGGCGGACGGGUGAGUAAUGUCUGGGAAACUGCCCGAUGGAGGGGGAUAACUACUGGAAACGGUAGCUAAUAACGCAUACUAUCAGAGGUGCCCAGCUGGGAUGAGCUAGUAGGUGGGGUAACGGGUCACCUAGGCGACGAUCCCUAGCUGGUCUGAGAGGAUGACCAGCGACACUGGAACUGAGGAGCGGGCCAGACGCCUACGGGAGGCAGCAGUGGGGAAUGUUGCACAAUGGGCGCAAGCCUGAUGCAGCCAUGCCGGGUGUGUGAAGAAGGCCUUCGGGUUGUAAAGCACGUUCAGCGGGGAGGCGUUACCCGCAGAAGAAGCACCGGCUAACUCCGUGCCAGCAGCCGCGGUAAUAC
rnacentral:rRNA from 1 species